rnacentral:lncRNA from 1 species
GUGAAUUGUCUCUCUGGUGCAUCCCUGGUGUUCCCUGUCAACACUGGUGUUGAUACUGAUGAAGUUGAAAUCCUACAAUUUUCUCCAAAUAUCUGAUAUUGGGAAAAAUAUCACUUUUCCUGGAGUUCUGCCAGACAAAGUUAGCAUUUUCCAAAAGGACCUUGAUUAGGAACAAAAGAAGCAAAAACAAAAAGAAAACAUGAAAAUGGAAAUAUGGACAAGAUUUUUAAAAACGAAACCAACUUUACUGAGGCAUCAUCAAAACUCUCUCUCUGAACGAGGAUCGCAGGGACUGCAGGUUCCUAACGGCCACUUCCGACUUCCCCUGCUGCAAAAUCUCCUUAAAACACAAUGUGC